CCUACGGGGGGCAGCAGUGGGGAAGAUUGGGCAAUGGGCGCAAGCCUGACCCAGCAACGCCGCGUGAAGGAAGAAGGCUUUCGGGUUGUAAACUUCUUUUCUCAGGGACGAAGAAAGUGACGGUACCGGAGGAAUAAGCCACGGCUAACUACGUGCCAGCAGCCGCGGUAAUACGUAGGGGGCAAUCGUUAUCCGGAUUUAUUGGCUGUAAAGGGCGUGUAGGCGGGAUCGACAGUCAGAUGUGAAAACUGAGGGCUCACCCCUGUGCCUUCCUUUGAAACUGUGGUUCUUGAGUGCUGGGGAGGCAAUCGGCAUUCCGUGUGUAUCGGUGAAAUGCGUAGAUAUUCGGAGGCACACCAGUGGCGAAGGCGGAUUGCUGGACCGUACCUGACGCUGAGGCGCGAAAGCGUGGGGAGCAAACAGGAUUAGAUACCCGAGUAGUC
rnacentral:rRNA from 1 species